rnacentral:tRNA from 3 species
AGGGCAGUAGCUCAGUUUGGCAGAGCACCGGUCUCCAAAACCGGUGGUCGGGGGUUCGAAUCCCUCCUGCCCUG